GGGAGAAUUGCCCCUAAAGCACAAAAUCAACUCACACUAGCAAAGUAAAAAAAGAAAAAUUAAAAGGAUUUUUUUAAAGAUCAAAAGGAAUCAAAUUGCCUUCUGUGAACAUGGUAGAGUGUUGAGAGCCACAGUUUAGUGGGAAUGACACCUGGCAUUUUUGCCAGAGGGAAUGGUUGAAAGGUGACCCUGCUCUGGGAUUAGGGUGGAUCCUGCUGGAAAUAGGGUGGCUCUGGGAUUAGGGUGGAUCCUGCUGCCUCCAGUGCCUGCUACUUUGGAGUUCCCAUUGAGUUCUCACCGGUCUUCUGAGAGAAUUGGCGCGCCGAGCCUGGUGGAGGGGGUGUGUUCCAGGGAAGUGUGUGUAGAGGGCCGGUGAGAGUUCUAGAAUAAAGAGUUGCUGUUUGAACCUACAAGGCUUGGUAGCAGCUCAGUUAUUUUGUGCCCAGCCAGACUGCGGCAGUAGUUUUGAGACAAUGGUCUCA
rnacentral:lncRNA from 1 species